GGUUGAUUUUCAGUCCAAUUUGCUGGCUGAAUGCGUUGAGUUGAGUUGUUUUUUCUUGUAUAUGGUGUUGGGUAUGUGAUAAGAGAGCGACAUCAUCUGCAAAGUCCAGGGCUUCAAAGGAUGAGAAUAAUGUCCAUUUAAUGCCUCUUGGCAUGUCUUCUGUUGUAUGCUGCACUACCCAGGCGAUGUCAAUGUUGAAGAGGAUUGCAGACAUGACAUACCCCUGACAUACUCCUGUUUUGACUUCAAAACUGAGCUCACUGUGAUCAACACUGCAUGUAAAGUUGAAAUAGAAGCUUUUGAUGACAUUGAUUAUACGGAAAGAAAUUCCAUAUGCCCACAGAAUGCUCCAUAAGCUGGUCCUGUGAAUGCUAUCAAAAGCCUUCUCAAAGUCUAUGAAAUGUAUGUAGAGUUACCAUUGCCAUUCUAAGCACUGUUCUAUUAUGUUUCGUAGAGUGAAGAUCUAGUCUGUGCAUCCACGCCCUUUCCAAAAACCAGCUUGCUCUUUUCUGAGAAUACUAUCAAAAAACAGAGUGGACACUCUUAAUUCAUUUUAAACCUGUUUCAUCUUGAUGUAGCUUAACUCAAUAAGGAACUGAAUUGAGAUAAAUCAAAAUAACCAGGUUUAAAUUAAGCUAAGAGUUUCCACAUAGUUGGCAUCGGUUUCACUAAAUCAGUUUAAAAUCACAUCCUUAAUUAUGUUUUGAAUAUAGACAAGGACUUGGUCAGUAUUAUAUAAAUGCCCAGCAUAAUGUUAAGGGGCCUCUACUGCUAUAGGUGCCAUUGUCAGACAUAAUGUUAAAAUAGAAUUAUUGACCAUUACUGGUAAUAAGAUACCAUAGCACUUUUCACAAGUGUAUGGGCCCUGGUUUACGGGCCAAAUUCCAACUCAAGUUUUACACAUUUUACUUACCCAGUUGUUUCAACCCUAAGCUGUUGUGCAUUGUUGUGCACUGUUAAACAGAAGCCAAAUUCCUUCCCAGAGUGGCGGCUUUAGUCAUGGGUAUUUAAUUCCUAAAUAUUCUUUACCUACCUCACAGUGAAAUGUGCUAUAAAAGUGCACCACAGUAUUUUAUUAUUAAGGCCUUUGACAUCAGGGGAACCAACAGUUCUGAUCAUCACAUAGCACUUAAAAGACUCUCAGAUUCCGAUGCCAAGAGGUGAUCAGAUAAAGUAAAAGGAACUGGAAUAACUCACUAUAAAUCAGCAAUAUAAUAUAAAAGCUCCUAACAAUUUCUAAUCUCUCUCUUUCUCCCCAAGCCCCAUCUCAUCCUGUUGGCUAGUACUAGAGAAGAAGUGCUUGUGAUAACUAGGAGCACAGAAUGGCCUCAAGAACCAAAUGUGUAUAUAUGUUCUUAAGGACAACGUUAUAGUAAAGCUGCUGGAAAGGGAAUCGUGUGGUUAUUCCAAACAGGGAAGCAACAUCUAAACAAAUGAAUAUUGUUGCAACUUGCUGAGCCUUUACUGAUGAAGCAGCCGCCGGGUCAGAAAGCCAGCGAGACCGCAAUCAGUACCCCCCCCCCCCAGGUGAAACGGGAUAUGAUUGUCAACAAACCAACCUCCUGCUGUCAAUCAGUGCCUCAUUCAAGCCAAUGAGCAAGAGAGGGCGGCUGACUUGGGUGGGCGGUCUGCGCUGGAGGCAGCAGUGCUGAGAGUGGUGCUGGGGGACCCACAGUGCACAAACAGCUGAGGCGCAGCAGCAUGCGGCGGCGACAGGAGGUGAGGGGGGAGGAGGAGGAGGGUAAGGGACGGGGGGGGGGCUUCCUGCUGCGGAGGCUGGCGGCGGGUGGGAUCGCUGACUACAGGCAAGUCCUAACAACAACAACAAGAGCGAGCCUGCACCUUUAUUCCCCCAAAGUUUGCAGCCGGGAGGACGAGAGAGCAAGCGGCAGGACUGCAGCAGCCGCGGGGAGAUGCCUCUGAAGAAGCUUCCUCCAAAGGCUGCGCUGCGGCAGUGCUUCUGAAGCCAAAUCUGGCCACAUUCUUGCACGGGAAUUAGGGGGAGCGGCUCUCUUCAGGGAUUUGCCGUUCCUGCUCUCCUUGCGGGCCGUGGAAGGACCCCCCCCCCCUCGGUCUGGGGUUAUUAGCACUCAUUCCGUGUUUCUUAUUUUACCCUCUGUUUGAAGCUGCGUUGUGUACUCGCCCCCUGCGCAGCUGGGCGCCCGCCGCCACGCAGCGCUUUCCGCUAAUCUGCGCGACCGCCCUCUGCUUGCUGGUUCGGCACAGCUGGGCGCCCGCGCCAGCUGUUUCUGCACCUCUGCACACCAGCAGCCAGCCCCGGCCUCUGGAGAGCCGAGGCAGUUCUACUCAGCGCAGCUGUAUGCCCGCCGCAGUUUCUGCACAUCUGGAUUCGCUGGAGUCUUGGGCCUUCCAUGCACUGCUGGUGCUGCCCUAUAUGUUUUACGUGGGCUUGUUCUUUGUCAAUGUGCUGAUUCUUUACUAUGCCUUCCUGAUGGAGUAUAUCGUUCUCAAUGUAGGGAUCGUGUUCCUGCCUGAAGACAUGGACCAGGCUCUGGUGGAUUUGGGGGUGCUGUCAGACCCUGGCUCGGUGCUCUAUGACACGGACAUCGAGCUGGAUGUGUUUGAUGGGUAUUUGGAAUAACAAGAAAAAAGAGUGCAGAAAGUGACUAUGGAAUAAUGCCCCCCCCAGACACACACACAGAGCAAAGAAUUGGAGGGCUUCUGUUGCUCUUGGUAGCCAUGGCUAAGGGAUCACCAGACCCCUGUGCUGUCCUUGCAUCUGAUUUCACUCAGCGCGGCAUCGUAUGCUCAAAAUGGCCCCACCAGUGCAAGUGUCAGUGGGGGGCUGCUGCCUCUCGCUGAGGUGCCCAGGACCUGCUGCUGCUGCUCAUGGGAUGGGAACUGGAGGCUGCGGCGGAGGCCCUGGUGGGGAGCUGGAGACAGACACAGGGGCACUGCCGGGCUCCAAAGCGCUGUAAGUCAUUUCUUUCAGCUUGGUUAGUAUCAUCAUCAUCAGAACUUACAGAACUGGAAGUUUAGGGGAUCUGUCCCCAGCCCCCGUCACCCAAUGUACCAUUCUGUUUAGAAGGAGGCUUAACAGAGUUCCAGAAACACCCCCUCCCAUAACUGCUGGCCUGGCAUGUGUGAUAGGUUCUUCCCACUGCACCUUUGGAGCUCUGAAAACAAUUUAUUGUAGUGGUUCUAUUAGUGUUAAGUUUUAUAGACACUUGUUUUCAUUUAAUUUAAAUUUAAUUUGGGGGCCAAAUUCAAGUUGAUAGUGUUCAUGAGGGCCUGAUCCUGAAAUCUCUUUUUUCAUGGGAGUAGCUCCUAGACGUCCAUGGCAUUAUUUUGGUGUUGUAGGCUUAGUCCCUGAAUUAGCAUUGGGAUGUAAAGUUAUACAGCACCUCAAUUUUGUUCUCCUCUGUUUACAAUGAAAAGGGCAUUUUCCUGUUAUUAUUACUAUAUUUUAAGGAGGCAGCUAUGUUUUGAGAUCACUUAAAAAUCACAGCUAAAGACAGUAGUUUAUACAUCUGCAUUUCUAAUGUACAGAAUGCCUCAUUUAGCAUAUUAGGAGAAAAGCUUCCACAAAAGUGCUGUAGUAAUAGUUGUUAGGGUCAGGACAGUGUGUCGCCGCAGGAUUACACAGCAAUUCUCUGGAAAGAGAUCCCGAUAGCCUGCCAAAUGGAGGGAUUUCUUUUUAAAAAAGAAAUCUGCUAUUGAGGUCUGCAGUAUUUAGCCAUCCAUUAUGAUGUGCUAAUCUAAAAACAAUCUGUUAGAGACCCAGGAUGAGACCUAUGUUGGGAGAAGUUACCCCACAUCUGCCAAAUUUGGGGUUCUUUCACUUUCCUCUGAAGCAUCUGGCACAGGCUAUUGUGAGACAGGAUACUAGACUAGAUGGAUCUAGGGUCUAAUCCGUUCUGGCAAUUCCUGGGUUCCUAAUGUCUAGGACAUUCCAAAUCCCAGGCCUUUAGACAUUUGGAGUCCUGUUCCAAAUUAAGCAGAACAGGGAUCCAAACCAUAUCAGCACUCUAUCACCAGGUUAUUGGCUAUUUUGGGUAGUGUAUGUGUGUCUCCCUUCCCCUCCCCCUUGUUUUGAUCAAAUUCCAUCCUGGAUCUGAGAAACCUUCCCAACAAAAGGUAGACAAAUCUCACCCUUUUCCGUGAAAUGUUCGGUUCUGAUGCUCAGCAUUUUCCAGGAAAAACCAGUUAAUCCAAAAUUCCCAGCCCACUCUACUCCCUAACCCCUACUCCUUUGAGUCUUCGGUCCAGGUAUUACUGCAAAAGAAUGAUGGCUAGAAGACGCUGGACAACUGUUAGCUAUGAUCAAACCCCAGCAACAAUGAAUUUUAGGCAUAAAGGAUGUUGAUUACAUACAUGUAACAAACACUUAUGAAAGUUGUCAAAGAAAAUCUGGCUGCUUCAAACAGCAGUGAAAACUAUGAACAGCACAAUUUGGCCCCUUUUGCUCAAGCACUUUGGGGCAAGGACUGUCUGAACUUUAUGUAUUAUACUGUGGUGACACAUUGGCAGCAGCAAACUAUUUUUGUCUAAAGAAAACUUUUUUUGUGAAUUUACAUUGCGUCUCAGGGUAGAUUUUCAAGUCAGUUUAAAAUGAGAAUAGCAGUGUGCUGCUUUUCCAAUGAAUUUUGGACAUGCAUAAGUGUUAGAUUUAUCUGAAGGGCUAAUCCAGCCCACUGUUGCAUUGACUUCAGUGAAAGAGUGAGUUCAGACCUUUACUUGUCUUGGAAUUUAACUGGCCUAGGCAUCACUACGAACUGUCUCAACCUUAAACAAAUACAAGUAGCAUUGUCCUCAAAACUGUCCAGUUUGAAAUUUUUGCAUGCUAUUCUUCACCACUUCGUGCCUCUUUGGUUAAACAAAAACCACUGGGGAGUCAAGGACUAAUGAGCUAGUGUUAUUGUAAUAAUCUGGUUUUCUUUCAAAUAGGUUUGUUGCACACUUGAAAAUGUGCCAGGACUGGAAUCGUGGAACAAGAAACUGUGGCCUUGAAUGUUCAAAACUAAAAGGAAUGUACAGGAGACAAAACGGGCAAGACAAUGUGAAGCGGCAGCAUCAGAAUGUUUCAGCUGUGACUUUUCCCCAGGAUUGUUGGAUCAGGAUUGUUACACGAACUGCAGUGAUUCAUAUGCAUCACCAUGCCUCCUUAGGAUAUGGCCUUCAUGGACAUUUUAAAAAGUGGUCUCUCCAUACUUUAAACAAAGCUUUUACUCAGAUUUGAUAAAGUUUUGAAUAAACAUGUUACCCAAAUGGGCAAUCUGUAUUACUGUUUAUGAAGUUCAAAUCAGAUCACAUGUUGAAAACUUUCCUGGCUGUUAGUUCAGAAGGUCAGUUCUGCUGUUGGAAUAGAGCCUAAAAUCACUGCAAAUUAAAUUCGGUUCAGAGCAGUAUUACAGAAAAGGAUUGUUUUGUAAGGUGUGGGUAUUUUUUGUUCGUUUUUGUUUUUAAUUUUGUGCAUUUUGUAUUAGGGCAGCAAGAGAGAAUUCGGUGUAAAUCUGGAGGAUUAAUUAGCUAACAGGAUACUUUGCACAUUGUUUAAAUUCAAGUUCUUAUGUACACAUGUAAAAGCAAUACAUUGAAGACUGACCUCAUUCAAUUAAAAAGUAUGCAAAUCA